CACCGAAGCUGCGGCAGCGACGCUGAUGCGUUGUUGGGUAGGGGAGCGUUCUGUAAGCCUGCGAAGGUGACCUGUGAGGGUUGCUGGAGGUAUCAGAAGUGCGAAUGCUGACAUAAGUAACGAUAAAGCGGGUGAAAAGCCCGCUCGCCGGAAGACCAAGGGUUCCUGUCCAACGUUAAUCGGGGCAGGGUGAGUCGACCCCUAAGGCGAGGCCGAAAGGCGUAGUCGAUGGGAAACGGGUUAAUAUUCCCGUACUUGGUGUUACUGCGAAGGGGGGACGGAGAAGGCUAUGUUGGCCGGGCGACGGUUGUCCCGGUUUAAGCGUGUAGGUGUGUGUUCCAGGUAAAUCCGGUUCACUUUAACACUGAGGCGUGAUGACGAGGCACUACGGUGCUGAAGCAACAAAUGCCCUGCUUCCAGGAAAAGCCUCUAAGCAUCAGGUAACAUCAAAUCGUACCCCAAACCGACACAGGUGGUCAGGUAGAGAAUACCAAGGCGCUUGAGAGAACUCGGGUGAAGGAACUAGGCAAAAUGGUGCCGUAACUUCGGGAGAAGGCACGCUGACACGUAGGUGAAGUGAUUUACUCACGGAGCUGAAGUCAGUCGAAG
rnacentral:rRNA from 3 species